CACUAAACAUACCUAUCCAGGAAAGAGUUAACUUUUCCUGGUGGCUAUUUUGACGUCAUUUUGCGUUAUCUUUAUAGUGCCAUAAUUUAAAAUUUCAAAGGGUUUCUUAAAUUUUGUCCAGACUAUGUGUCUGGCAAAUCUGCUAUAAUUUCUGAUAUGGCAGAUCAUGAACUAAGUUUACCCUUUUCCAUACAAUGGUACCUUA